GCCCGUCAACAGACGGUGCCGCAUCGUCAGUUCCUUCCACCGCGCCUGGAAGGCGUUCGGUUAGCGGAGCGUUCUCUUGCGUCGUCCUCUGUUCUGGUCAUACGACUCCGAAGAGAGACAAGCCUAUUAUCAUCGAGUAGAUAGAUAUUCGAGUAGAGAGGAAACUUGAAGAAAAGUUCAACGAAGCAUCGAAGCUUCGGUUAGAGAAAAAUAAGAAGGAAAAAAAAAGAAGAAUAAGAAUAAUAAUUAUAAGAAGAAGAACAAGAGGAGGAGGAGGAGGAGGAGGAGAAGGAGAGAAAAAAGAAAAAAAGGAAAGAAUGGAACGAUUAAUCCGAUCGUUACAACUGCCCGGGUCCGACCGGUAAUUUCUCUCAUUAAGGAGAUCGGAUCAAACGGUACCGAGGGAAAAUAAAAUGAGCAACCCGGCCCGGAAGAGACGCUCUUAACGUCAAUCCAUUCGAGGGAAGAACUAAGAUCCGGUCUUUAACUUGGAAGGAGAGUACAGGGAAAGAUGACGAAGAGAUUCGAAUUCAACUGGCAGAUCGAAGUGCCGGAAGCGCUUCGUAAUGGAUGCGUCUUUGAUCGAUGGUCCGAGGAGAAGGACAAUACGGAGCUUGAGAUGAACUGUAUGUUCAAGGUCGACGUGUACGGUUUCUUUAUUUAUUGGCAGAGCGAAGGAAAGGACGGUGAUGUAUUAGAACUGUGUCAAGUGAGCGAUAUUCGUGCUGGUGGAGUGCCAAAGGAUCCAAAGCUGUAUGAUAAAUUAGUUUCCAAACACGGUGAGCUACUAGAUGAAAAAAGUUUGACCAUCUGUUCGGGCGUCGAUUACACCAACAUCAAUUAUCAGCACGUCGUUUGUCCGGAUGCCACGACCGCCAAGGUAUGGUUGGACGGUGUACGAUCGAUUACGCACAACGUGAAAGCCAACAACUUUUGUCCGCUGACAUGCCUGAAGAAACAUUGGAUGCGACUCAGAAUGUUGGUCGAUCCAAAUGGAAAAGUUCCGGUGAGAGUGGUCGCGAGGACUUUUGCGUCUGGAAAAACUGAGAAGCUUGUCUAUCAAUGUCUCUCUGAUUUAAAUCUACCAAGCGGCAAGAAUGACGUUAUAGAGCCGGACGACUUUACCUUCGAUGCAUUUUACGCUCUUUAUCAUAAAAUAUGCCCGAGGAACGAUAUAGAGGAGCUCUUUCAAUCGAUAACACAAGGAAAGGCAGACACGAUAAACCUCGAACAGUUGAUUACCUUUCUCAAUGAGAAACAACGUGAUCCGACCUUAAACGAGAUUCUUUAUCCUCUUUACGACGAGAAACGAGCGUUAGAAAUUAUCAACGAUUACGAGCAGAAUGAAACUGCCCGAAAUCAAAAAACGAUGACGAAGGACGGCUUCAUAAGAUACCUGAUGUCGGAUGAAAAUGCACCGGUGUUUCUAGACAGAUUAGACGUAUAUAUGGACAUGGACCAACCACUGGCGCAUUAUUAUAUCAAUUCGAGCCAUAACACGUAUCUGAGUGGUCGUCAGUUUGGUGGAAAGAGUAGCGUCGAGAUGUACAGACAAGUGUUGCUUGCUGGUUGCAGAUGCGUCGAAUUGGAUUGCUGGGAUGGAAAGGGAGAAGACGAGGAGCCAAUAAUAACUCAUGGUAAAGCGAUGUGUACUGACAUACUCUUCAAAGACGUCAUAUAUGCUGUAAGAGAUACAGCCUUCGUAACAUCUGAAUAUCCAGUAAUACUCAGCUUUGAGAAUCACUGUAGUAAGAAACAGCAAUACAAAUUAGCCAAGUAUUGCGAUGAGAUACUUGGAGACCUACUAUUAAAGGAACCCCUUAAGGAUUUUUCCCUGGAACCGGGGGUACCAUUGCCAUCGCCUAACAUGUUGAAGCGUAAGAUACUGAUUAAAAAUAAACGUCUCAAGCCAGAAGUAGAGAAGCAAGAACUCGAACUGUUCAAACAAGGGCAAUUUGUGAUCGAAGAUGAGAUUAAAGAGGAUGCAAGUGCGCCACCUGUCGUAGCUGCAGUCGUUGAACAGCAACCUUCGAAGGAUGAAACUUCGACGGAUUCAAUGACGUCAUCGACAACAGGCGUUCAACAACAGCAGUCUGGCAGCGGUCCAGCUGGUCUCGGCGAAAGCUUGGAACUGGCUGUGGCUCAACCUUAUACCGGAAGUACGACGAACGUUCAUCCGUGGCUAUCUUCCAUGGUCAAUUACGCUCAGCCUAUAAAGUUUCCGGGUUUUGACGUCGCCGAACGUACGUUCGUUGUUGAUUAUUACGAUCUUUAUAUCGAUUUUAUAAAGAAAUUUUAUUCCUACAAAAGGAUAUAUGUGUCUUGUACAGAAAAGAACAUUCACCAUAAUAUGUCUUCCUUCGCGGAAACGGCUGGACUGAACUAUCUAAAGACAUCCGCCAUCGAAUUCGUAAAUUAUAAUAAACGGCAAAUGAGUCGGAUAUAUCCAAAAGGUACUCGUGCGGAUUCCUCGAAUUAUAUGCCACAGGUCUUCUGGAACGCCGGUUGUCAAAUGGUGUCACUGAACUUUCAAACGGCGGAUCUGCCAAUGCAACUAAACCAGGGUAAGUUCGAAUAUAAUGGGUCCUCUGGAUAUCUCCUCAAGCCGGAUUUCAUGAGACGUGCUGAUAGAAGUUUCGAUCCGUUUGCCGAAAGUCCAGUGGAUGGUGUAAUCGCUAUACAAUGUAGCGUACAGGUAAUAGCGGGCCAGUUCCUUUCGGACAAAAAGGUUGGUACCUACGUCGAAGUAGAAAUGUAUGGUUUACCAACCGACACGAUAAGAAAAGAAUUUCGUACAAGAGUCGUACCAGCGAAUGGCCUCAAUCCGGUAUACAACGAGGAGCCUUUCCUCUUUAGAAAAGUUGUAUUACCAGAUUUGGCCGCUCUAAGAUUUGCCGUCUAUGACGAAUCAAACGGAAAACUUCUUGGCCAAAGAAUAGUUCCUUUAGACGGUUUGCAAUCUGGCUACCGUCAUAUCUCUUUACGCACCGAGGCAAACUUUCCUAUGUCUCUGCCUAUGCUCUUUUGCAAUAUAGAAAUAAAGAUCUACGUACCGGAUGGUUUUCAAGAAUUUAUGGACGCUUUAACUGCACCCCGAGCUUUCAAGAAAACUGAAAGCAUGUCGCAAAAUAAAAUGCGCGGGCUUGGAAUCGAGGAGAGUGACAGUAAAAGUAGCUCAAAUUCGAUGCCUACUAAGCAUCAAGAAGCUGCGAAGCCUAGAGAGGAAAUAAAAUUCGAUCCGAUCACGGUAGAAUCCUUGAGGUUAGAGAAAGGUUAUCAAAAAGUUUUGAGAAAGCAACAAAAGGAAUUGGAAUCUUUAAAGAAGAGGCACCAGAAGGAAAAGAUGUCCGUACAAAAGCAACAUUGUGUUGCGAUAGAAAAGAUAAUCAAAGGGAAAAACAAAGCAGAAUUAUCGAGAGAUCCUAUCAUACGACAAGCCGUGAACGAGCAAACAAGCCAAUGGUCACGGUUAGCUGAUAGACAACGUCGCGAGGAACGUGAUCUAGUACGAGUUCAUCUCGAAGAACGUCGUAUGCAAUUAAGGAAAUUAUGUAUGACAGCUCAGGUAACACAACAGAAACAGCUGACGGCAAGACACGAGCGUGAGAUUAAAGAGAUGAAUACGAGACAGGCUAAGUUAUCGGUCGAGAGUAUGAGAGAGGUGAUGAAUGAUAAAACCUUGAAGACACGAGGUAUCAAAGAAGGCAGGCUUAGGGAGAAACAACAGAACAAUACAAAGAAAUUCAUGGAAGAACGAAAGAUAGCGCAGAUGAUACAGAACAGGGAGAAGGAGAAGUUAAAGGUCAUACACGAGAAGCAAUUGGAGGAGCUGCAGAAAGAUAUGAAUGCGAUCAUGGAUAUGUAUAAGAACGAAGAAAUGGAAUAUGAAUUGGGACCGAAGACCGAAUUUUACGCGUGAUUCCUUUUCGAUUUCCUUUCAACGACUGCUCCAAGUCACGAGACACCGUCCACAAGGGACGAACAUCCUUUUAAGACCUCUUAACAAUGGGAUACGCGGUAUCAGUAAUUAUAAUUGGAAUUGGGAUCAAGCCUCAUUAGUUGUCGUUCACGAAUCUUUCGUCGUUCAUACAAAAAUUUAUCUCUUGGUCCAAAGUGGGUGAACAAAUCGUGAGCCAAAUAUCACUGUAAAUAGCUUUAAAUCGGAGCCUAGCAUAACGAAAAUCACAAAUACCACGUCGUUGUUUUCAUUAUAAUAUAACGUUAUUUAAAUAUAAGUUGUUAUACUAAUUUAUACGUACAUAUAUGCGUACUUCUGUGUAAGAUUCGUUUGUACGUUACUUAAGCACGUACAACGACACAUAUACGUACGUAUAUGUAUAACAAAAAUAAAAAAGAAAAAG